UGGGGAAUCUUGGACAAUGGGGGCAACCCUGAUCCAGCGAUGCCGCGUGGGUGAAGAAGGCCUUCGGGUUGUAAAGCCCUUUAGGCUGGGAAGAAGUGUGCGGGAUGAAUAAUCCUGUACGUUGACGGUACCAGCAGAAUAAGCACCGGCAAACUCUGUGCCAGCAGCCGCGGUAAUACAGAGGGUGCGAGCGUUAAUCGGAUUUACUGGGCGUAAAGGGCGCGUAGGCGGUUGUGUGAGUGUGAUGUGAAAGCCCCGGGCUUAACCUGGGAAGUGCAUCGCAAACGACAUAACUGGAGUAGAUGAGAGGGUGGCGGAAUUUCCGGUGUAGCGGUGAAAUGCGUAGAGAUCGGAAGGAACGUCAAUGGCGAAGGCAGCCACCUGGCAUCAUACUGACGCUGAGGCGCGAAAGCGUGGGGAGCGAACAGG
rnacentral:rRNA from 1 species